AACGAACGCUGGCGGCGUGCCUAAGACAUGCAAGUCGAACGAGAAAGCCACCUUCGGGUGGCGAGUACAGUGGCGCACGGGUGAGUAACGCGUGGGUAAUCUGCCCUCGGGUCUGGGAUAACCCCGGGAAACUGGAGCUAAUACCGGAUGAGACCACGAGCACCUCGGUGCUCGCGGGAAAAGGUGGCCUCUCGACGAAGCCACUGCCUGAGGAUGA
rnacentral:rRNA from 1 species